rnacentral:rRNA from 1 species
ACGAACGCUGGCGGCAUGCCUAACACAUGCAAGUCGAACGAGACCUUCGGGUCUAGUGGCGCACGGGUGCGUAACGCGUGGGAACCUGCCCUUAGGUUCGGAAUAACUCCCCGAAAGGGGUGCUAAUACCGGAUAAUGUCUUCGGACCAAAGAUUUAUCGCCUUUGGAUGGGCCCGCGUUGGAUUAGCUAGUUGGUAGGGUAAAAGCCUACCAAGGCGACGAUCCAUAGCUGGUCUGAGAGGGUGAUCAGCCACACUGGGACUGAGACACGGCCCAGACUCCUACGGGAGGCAGCAGUGGGGAAUAUUGGACAAUGGGCGAAAGCCUGAUCCAGCAAUGCCGCGUGAGUGAUGAAGGCCUUAGGGUUGUAAAGCUCUUUUACCCGGGAUGAUAAUGACAGUACCGGGAGAAUAAGCUCCGGCUAACUCCGUG